CAUUUCUUUAUGGAAAUGCAAUCAGAUGGAGACGCUAAGGCAGAAGAACUACUGUGUCUGCAGUGCAAAAUGAUUUAUAUGGUGAUUAUUACUUUAAGGAAAUGAUGAAGCAGUAAUCAUAAGUGUUCUUCGUUGAGCUGCGUCACUCCGCUGUAGUCCGUAAUGGACUGGCCUGAGGUCUCGCUACAAACAAGCGGCUGCUGGAAGAGAGUAGGUGAGUUGUGUUUAGUCUCUUUGCUAAAGAAAUUAGACAAAGUUAAAAAGAUGUUUGGUGGCUAGUGCUGUGGCUGGGACCCUAUAUGUACUGUUGAUGAAGUUAGGUGCUGUUCUGAGCAUUA